CCGCGCGCGCGCGCGACGAGUCCCUUCGCUUUGUCUCCAGCCCCGUGGAGCGGACAGCUCCCUUGCUUGCUAAGCCCUUUCCAGCUUCUCCUAAAACGCCUGGAAGCUUUGGCUGCUUUGGGGUUCAAGCCUGGCGUGGACCAAUGUAGCAGAAGAGCAGGAUGCUCUCCUCACUAUAAACACUAUAUGAGCACAUCUAGAAUGGUGAAAGGAAUGUUCCUGAGGUUUUGUUGUCCAAAAUUAUAACUCCAACUAUUGAUUAAGAAAAACGCAGCAGAUGACAAAAAAACAACAGAAACAAAAACAGAUAAACUGAUCAGGGAAUAAUGGCAGAGUGAAGAUUUGUGAAGAUUUGUGGCAAAAGACAAGGAAAUGACACUUAGCUGCCAGCUGCCUGCAAUUAUUGCGAGUUUAAUUCUCACCAGGCUCAAGGUUGACUCAGCCUUCGAUCCUUUCGAGAGUCUCAACAUCUUUUUUACAUCGUGGCGACCAAAACUGAAUGCAAUAUUCCAAGUGUGGCCUUACCAAGGCAUUAUAAAGUGAUAUUAACACCUCACGUGAUCUUGAUUCUAUCCCUCUGUUUAUGCAUCCCAGAACUGUGUUGGCUUUUUUGGCAGCUGCUGCACACUGCUGGGUCAUAUCUAAAUGGUUGUUCACUAGGACUCCAAGAUCCUUCUCACAGUUACUACUAUUGAGCAAGAUACCACAUAUACGGUACCUGUGCAUUUUGUUUUUCUUCCCUAAAUGUAGAACCUUGCUUUUUUCAUUGUUGAAUUUCAUUUUGUUAGAUAGUGCCCAAUGUCCAAGUCUGUCAAGAUCCUUUUGUAUCUUGAGCCUAUCUUCUGGAGUGUUGGCUAUUCCUGCCAGCUUGGUGUCAUCUGCAAAUUUGAUGAGUUCUCCAUCUAUCCCCUCGUCCAAGUCAUUGAUGAAGAUGUUGAAGUGCACUGAGCCUAAAACAGAGCCCUGGGGUACUCCACUGCAUACUUCUCUCCAUGUAGAUGCAGUUCCAUUGAGUACUGAAUAGCUUCAAUUCUUUAUGCAAGAA